AUACUUGCCUGGCAGGAGAGAGACCAUGAUAAAGGAGGUAGUUUCUCUAGGGCAAAGCUCCUCCACUGCACUCCAGGUAUGCUGACCCGUGAUUUCCCCAAAUGGGGGAAACUCAACUGCAUAAUUGGUGGAAACGAGGGACUGCAUUCACAUUUUCCUGUG